rnacentral:rRNA from 1 species
GACGAACGCUGGCGGCGUGCUUAACACAUGCAAGUCGAACGGAAAGGCCCUGCUUUUGUGGGGUGCUCGAGUGGCGAACGGGCGAGUAACACGUGAGUAACCUGCCCUUGACUUUGGGAUAACUUCAGGAAACUGGGGCUAAUACCGGAUAGGAGCUCCUGCUGCAUGGUGGGGGUUGGAAAGUUUCGGCGGUUGGGGAUGGACUCGCGGCUUAUCAGCUUGUUGGUGGGGUAGUGGCUUACCAAGGCUUUGACGGGUAGCCGGCCUGAGAGGGUGACCGGCCACAUUGGGACUGAGAUACGGCCCAGACUCCUACGGGAGGCAGCAGUGGGGAAUAUUGCACAAUGGGCGGAAGCCUGAUGCGGCAACGCCGCGUGCGGGAUGACGGCCUUCGGGUUGUAAACCGCUUUCGCCUGUGACGAAGCGUGAGUGACGGUGAUGGGUAAAGAAGCACCGGCUAACUACGUG